GAUGAACGCUAGCGACAGGCUUAACACAUGCAAGUCGAGGGGCAGCGGGGUCGGUCAGCUUGCUGAACGCCGUCCGGCGACCGGCGCACGGGUGAGUAACACGUAUGCAACCUGCCCCGCCACAGGGGGAAUAACCGGGAGAAAUCCCGACUAAUACCGCGUAGACCUGAUUGAGGCAUCUCGAUUGGGGGAAAGCGUUACGGCGGUGGCGGAUGGGCAGUCGCGGCGCAUUAGCUAGUUGGCGGGGUAACGCCCACCAAGGCGACGAUGCGUA
rnacentral:rRNA from 1 species